UGGGGAAUAUUGCACAAUGGGGAAGCCCUGAUGCAGCGACGCCGCGUGAAGGAUGAAGUAUUUCGGUAUGUAAACUUCUAUCAGCAGGGAAGAAAAUGACGGUACCUGACUAAGAAGCCCCGGCUAACUACGUGCCAGCAGCCGCGGUAAUACGUAGGGGGCAAGCGUUAUCCGGAUUUACUGGGUGUAAAGGGAGCGUAGACGGAAAGGCAAGUCAGAAGUGAAAGCCCAAGGCUCAACCAUGGGACUGCUUUUGAAACUGUCAAACUAGAGUACGGGAGAGGUAAGAGGAAUUCCUAGUGUAGCGGUGAAAUGCGUAGAUAUUAGGAGGAACACCAGUGGCGAAGGCGUCUUACUGGACCGAAACUGACGUUGAGGCUCGAAAGCGUGGGGAGCAAACAGGAUUAGAUACCC
rnacentral:rRNA from 1 species